AAACAACUCUCAGCAACGGAUAUCUUGGCUCUUGCAACGAUGAAGAAAUUGCAGAAUUCCGCGAAUCAUCGAGUCUUUGAACGCAAGUUGCGCCCGAGGCUUGUCUGAGGGCAUUUCCGCUAGAGCGUCAC
rnacentral:rRNA from 1 species